rnacentral:rRNA from 1 species
GCGGCAGCUAAGGCAAUAAGUAUUCCCCUUGGGGAUUACGACCGCAAGGUUGAAAUUCAAAGGAAUUGAGGGGGGCCCGCACAACGCGGUGGAUUAUGUGGUUUAAUUGGAAGCAACGCGAAGACCCUUACCAGGGCUUGACUAUCCUACUAACGAGGUAGAGAUACGUUAGGUGCCUUUCGGGGAAAGUAGAGACAGGUGGUGCAUGGUUGUCGUCAGCUCGUGUCGUGAGAUGUUGGGUUAAGUCCCGCAACGAGCGCAACCCCUGCCAUUAGUUGCUACGCAAGAGCACUCUAAUGGGACCGCUACCGACAAGGUGGAGGAAGGUGGGGACGACGUCAAAUCAUCAUGCCCUCUUAUGACCUGGGCUACACACGUAAUACAAUGGCCGUUUAACAGCAGGAAGCGAAGGCGCGAGCCGGAGCAAACCCCCAAAAACGGUCUCAGUUCGGAUCGCAGGCUGAAACCCGCCUGCGUGAAGUUGGAAUUGUCUAGUAAUCGCGAGAUUCAGCAUGUACGCGGGAAACU